CAGUUUACUUCCGGUCGAUUACGUUACGAUCUCGGAUGAUUUUUAACGGAAAACACGAAAAAUAUUUCAAAAUAUUGAAAGCAGUGUGUAUACUGCAAGUUUCUUCGAGGGUGUGAUUGAUAAUUGAUAGCGGAUGGCAUGUAAAAUAUCUCACAACCACAAGAAAGCGACAAAAUGCAAGAUAUGAAUUCCCAUGGGGAUGGAAAAUCACCACUUAAAAUGACCAGAUCCGUUGUGUUGUUUAGAAGAAUUCACUUAUAUGGAAGAUGAAGCCGAAAGCAUGGAAGGUACAGAUACUCUUGACAGUAUUAUCAAAGACACUGAAGAGAUUUUGGAGAGCUGGAAGCAAGAGAGGCUUAAAAAGGCUUGGAGUAAACGAAUGCAGGCAGUGAACAUUAGCUGGGAGACAUCCAGAAAACUACUGUUUGAAGCUGUUCUCUCGUCCAAGGCCACCAUUGCACAAACGUGCUCAGUAUGUCAUGGGAAGAACUUCAUCAUACGUUGUCAAGAUUGUGUUCACAGUUUUUUGUGCCAGUCCUGUGAUGAUUUUGUACACACAACUUCACCCCUGCAUGAUAGAGAAGCCAUCUUGGGUGGGUACUACCGCUCCAUUUUGCCAACAGAAUAUAUAGAUGUGACCGGGGCUUUAGCCAAUAAAAGUAAGUAUAGUAUAAAAUCACAGUAGUCAGAUCUAUUUGCUGUGUGUUAUAUUUAUGCCAGAUCCUUGAAAAAAUUGAACUACUCUAUGGCAGUUACCAGCAAUGUUUACUACAGUACCCUAUUUCCUAGAUUGUCAUCUGCCACUGCAUCCACAGCAAUGUUCAUGUGGCAAUAAAAUGGAAGCCAAGUACUCUACUGGACAACAUAUUAUAGUUACUUCGAAAGGUGAAAUACUUUAGCAGAUCAGUGGAUCACAAGACUGCAGGUCAAGUGAUUUGUAUCUGCUCAAGAAUUUCCCCCAACAAACACAAGCCUGUUGAAGGCUAGAAAAUAAUUGGAUCACACAAUAGCCACAAUGCCAAAUUCCUGUAUUUCAAAACGCAAAAUAGUUUUUCUGUAGAAAUUGACUUCAACUUUUGUUUUAAUUUCUUGCAGGGAGAUUUGACUCCAGCAUAGUUAGUCAUUAUGCAUGCAGUGUUUGUAGUACAGAGGUGGAUUGCAGCAUCACAGCAGUUGAUGUCAUCAGAAAUGAUUGGAACAAUCAAUUUCUCAACAUUCAGCAGGAGCUUCAAGGAGUGGAAGUUCUGUUGCUAUGAAAUCGACCAGCUUGCUGAGAGAAAUUGGAUGGAGUGCCCUCCCUGCUCGCAGGGACAACACUCUGCACAUGUUGAUGGCAACAUGAAGUUGUACCGCUUUAGUGCAGCAGGAAGUCAACAGCGUGAGAGCUAUUAUAUGAUGCGUCAUGCUUCGGCACUAUACCGGAGGGAAUUUGCCAGGCUAAAGUCUAAUCCAACAAACAAAGAGAUACAAACAGAAUUAAUCAUUCCUGCAGAAGCAACACUUACUGUAAAUGUCAUUAGACAUUUGAAGGCAGCCAUGCAAAACGCUCAUUAUAGUAUCGCACAGCUGUCUUUGAACAUUGCAAAAUUAGCUGAUUCUUCUAAACAACGAUCUCGCCUGAGAAAAAAGAUUUCCCAAGAGAAACGGGGACUGAAGGAGCUAGUUAGUUCGUAUAAUGGAAAACCAUAUCUCGAUAGAAGACGUCGAAGCCGGGCUAUUUCCUUUUCUCUUCGAAUAUGAAAUAACCAACAGAUCAGGAAAGAUAUGCUACUGAUUCCGAGAAAGACAUUGUCAUCAGAGGGAAAUGGUCUGUCACACAGAUGGGGAUCGACUUCGCUCUUUGUCAAUUGGCUUGUGGUACUGCUGCAUUCAAGAAGUUCAUUGACGUUAACGCCUCCAGCGACGAUGACGAUAACGUAGAUGAUGACGGAAGUGAUGAUGACUUGUGGUUUGAAGGCGAAGAUAGCGACGAUGAGACCAAUGAUGUGGAUGUAGCCCCCGUCAUUAACGAAUGCUCCCUGCAAUCUAUGUCGGACUUAAAUGGGACUUACAUCUGGAAAUAUCCUAAACAGUUUAGUCACGGCAGCAUCGACGGAUGACAUGGUAGUAACGCGUGCACCGUGAUAGCUCUUGUGAUAGGAUAUAAUUUGAUAAGAGAAGACCUGUCCUUUCCGGCCAACGACAGUUCUAUUUCUCCACUAUGGAUAACGUUAUUGCAUCAGUCCAUGGUGCCGGGGAAUAACGUGUAUGAUAGGUUCAAAGAUUCUCUAAAGUCGAGUUAUCUAUCUGUGGAGGAAGCUUGCGAUAUCUUGUCUCGGUGUUAUACUAUUAAAUCAGAGAGGCCAUUGCCUGUUCGACUCCAAGACUCACAUCGGCCCUCGACCAUAGCAUGGCAGAUUGAACAACUCGUUACGCCCGGCGUGACAAAGUUAGCAGCCCUAAUCAUAAAUGGGAAUACGUCUCUCUUCGUUGUCCGCCAUCAUGACAUUAUGUUUAUUGACACUCAUGCUCAUGGAACUGAUCAUGGCGUUAUUGUCCUCAAAGGUCACCGCGAUAGUUUGGAAAACUUUUGUCGUUCAGUAUGGGAAACUCAGUAUUUUCAUAACCGAACAUAUGGUAAUUUCGUUCCCAUCCAUACCCCUGCGAUACUAUCGUAGCUCGAAGUUAGUAAAGUGAAACGGUGACAGGUUGAAAUAGUUGUGCAAGUGUUCUGCUUUGACGAUAUCAGCUAUAUAACAUUGUAUACCAUAAAUAGUUAUUAGUGUUAUUGGUAUUAAAACAUUUAUUGAAA